rnacentral:rRNA from 1 species
AUUGAACGCUGGCGGCAUGCCUUACACAUGCAAGUCGAACGGCAGCACGGGUGCUUGCACCUGGUGGCGAGUGGCGCACGGGUGAGUAAUACAUCGGAACAUGUACUGUAGCGGGGGAUAGCCCGGCGAAAGCCGGAUUAAUACCGCCUAAGAUCUACGGCUGACAGCGGGGGACCUUCGGGCUUCGCGCUAAAGGGUUGGCCGAUGGCUGAUUAGCUAGUUGGUGGGGUAAAGGCCUACCAAGGCGACGCACAGUAGCUGGUCUGAGAGGACGACCAGCGACACUGGGACUGAGACACGGCCCAGACUCCUACGGGAGGCAGCAGUGGGGAAUUUUGGACGACGGGCGAAAGCCUGAUCCAGCAAUGCCGCGUGUGUGAAGAAGGCCUUCGGGUUGGAAAGCACUUUUGUCCGGAAAGAAAACCUUGGCCCUAAUACGGUCGGGGGAUGACGGUACCGGAAGAAUAAGCACCGGCUAACUACGUG